rnacentral:rRNA from 1 species
AUUGAACGCUGGCGGCAUGCCUAACACAUGCAAGUCGAACGGGGCAGCAAUGCCUAGUGGCGGACGGGUGAGGAAUACGUAAGAAUCUGCCCUUAAGUGGGGGAUAACCAGGGGAAACCCUGACUAAUACCGCAUGAUCUCUUCGGAGCAAAGAGGGGGACCGCAAGGCCUCUCGCUUCUGGAUGAGCCUACGUCUGAUUAGCUAGUUGGUAGGGUAAAGGCCUACCAAGGCGACGAUCAGUAACUGGUCUGAGAGGAUGAUCAGUCACACCGGAACUGAGACACGGUCCGGACUCCUACGGGAGGCAGCAGUGGGGAAUAUUGGACAAUGGGCGCAAGCCUGAUCCAGCAAUGCCGCGUGUGUGAAGAAGGCCUUCGGGUUGUAAAGCACUUUAGCCUGGAAAGAAAAAACUUUGGUUAACACCCAAAGUCUUGACGGUACCAGGAGAAUAAGCACCGGCUAACUCUGUGCCAGCCGCCGCAGUAACAC